rnacentral:tRNA from 2 species
GCGGACGUGGCGAAACCGGUAGACGCAAGGGACUUAAAAUCCCUCGGGCACUGCCCGUGCGGGUUCGACCCCCGCCGUCCGCACCA